UACAGAGGUCUCAAGCGUUGUUCGGAUUCAUUGGGCGUAAAGGGUGCGUAGGCGGCGCGGUAAGUCGGGUGUGAAAUCUCGGAGCUUAACUCCGAAACUGCAUUCGAUACUGCCGUGCUUGAGGACUGGAGAGGAGACUGGAAUUUACGGUGUAGCGGUGAAAUGCGUAGAUAUCGUAAGGAAGACCAGUGGCGAAGGCGGGUCUCUGGACAGUUCCUGACGCUGAGGCACGAAGGUCAGGGGAGCAAACGGGGAUUAGACGUACCCCAGU
rnacentral:rRNA from 1 species